GGAAACAGGUGCUAAUACCGUAUAACAAUCGAAACCGCAUGGUUUUGAUUUGAAAGGCGCUUUCGGGUGUCGCUGAUGGAUGGACCCGCGGUGCAUUAGCUAGUUGGUGAGGUAACGGCUCACCAAGGCUACGAUGCAUAGCCGACCUGAGAGGGUGAUCGGCCACAUUGGGACUGAGACACGGCCCAAACUCCUACGGGAGGCAGCAGUAGGGAAUCUUCGGCAAUGGACGAAAGUCUGACCGAGCAACGCCGCGUGAGUGAAGAAGGUUUUCGGAUCGUAAAACUCUGUUGUUAGAGAAGAACAAGGAUGAGAGUAACUGUUCAUCCCUUGACGGUAUCUAACCAGAAAGCCACGGCUAACUACGUGCCAGCAGCCGCGGUAAUACGUAGGUGGCAAGCGUUGUCCGGAUUUAUUGGGCGUAAAGCGAGCGCAGGCGGUUUCUUAAGUCUGAUGUGAAAGCCCCCGGCUCACCCGGGGAGGGUCAUUGGAAACUGGGAGACUUGAGUGCAGAAGAGGAGAGUGGAAUUCCAUGUGUAGCGGUGAAAUGCGUAGAUAUAUGGAGGAACACCAGUGGCGAAGGCGGCUCUCUGGUCUGUAACUGACGCUGAGGCUCGAAAGCGUGGGGAGCAAACAGGAUUAGAUACCCUGGUAGUCCACGCCGUAAACGAUGAGUGCUAAGUGUU
rnacentral:rRNA from 1 species